ensembl:lncRNA
AUGUUCUGGCAAACCCAAUCAACAAUUGGGCCACACAGAAAACCUACACACACAGAUAGAUACCUUCAUAAAAACUCCAACCAUCACCCAAGUCAAAAAAGGAGCACAAUCAAAGCCCUGACAGACCGUGCACAAAGAAUCUGCGAACCUCACCUCCUCCAAGGUGAACUCGACCACCUAAACUGGGCUCUACAGGCCAAUGGAUACUCCACCACAGACAUCAGAAGAGCUGCAAGGCCAAGAACAAGCCAUGAGAGUCAAGACAAAGAUCCACCCAGAGGAAAGGUGUUCUUACCAUACAUCAAGGGAACUACUGACCGCAUAGGCAAAUUGAUGAAGAAGCACAACCUACAAACUAUCUACAGACCCACAAAGAAAAUCCAACAAAUGCUACUGUCAGCGAAGGACAAGAGGGAUCCUCUCUCUUCUGCAGGAGUGUACCGCAUACCAUGCAGCUGUGGACAAGUAUACAUAGGGACCACCAAACGCAGUGCCCAAACAAGAGUCGAAGAACAUGAAAGGCACUGCAGACUAAUUCAACCAGAGAAAUCAGCCAUAGCAGAGCAUUUGAUGAACCAGCCUGGACACAGGAUACUAUUGGAGAACACAGAAAUGCUGGACCAUUCCAACAACUAUCAUGUCAGACUACACAGAGAAGCCAUUGAAAUCCACAAGCAUGUGGACAACUUCAACAGAAAGGAAGAAACCAUGAAAAUGAACAAAAUCUGGCUACCAGUAUUACAAAACUCCAAAAUCAAAACAGUAGAUGGGAACCAACACAAUGAGGGCUUGACUAAACAAAGGAUGCCCCCAGGCAAGGGACAAAAUAUUUCCAAUGCAAAUUAGGGUGAUUAACUGAAACAUUAAUGCGGGCUCCCAGUGACAAAGAACUCUUGCCACACCUUGGACUCCACACAGAUAUAUAUUCUUUCCUUUCCUUACUUAGUUUAUCCAUGCCUCACAACCUCUGAGGAUGCCUGCCAUAGAUGUGGGCAAAACGUCAGGAGAGAAUACUUCUGGAACAUGGCCACACAGCCCUGUGAUCCCGGCCAUGAAAGCCUUCGACAACACAUACAUAACCAUUGUUACCAUACUUUUUUCCUUUUCCAUUCCCUUCUCCCUCCCCACACCCACCCCUCCCCCUCCCCUGUUGACAACUUAAUCCUUUUUUCCCCUUUCCAUGAGCCUUCUUUUCAUUCUAUCCAAUUUUUUUCUUCCAGCUUUCAUCAUCUGGUUUCAUCAUCUGUAGCCAUCUGCUAAAUGGAGUCCAUAUUUCUUUAAGUUUCUUCUGUUUGUCUGACCAUGUUUUUUGGCUUCCUAUAAUGUCCAUAAUAUCUAGUUGUACUGUAUUUGAUCCCACAUAUAUUCAUACAAUUUUUCAAGUGUUCAUUUCUUUUUGUCUUUCCACCCUCAAGCUAUUACUGCACGUGCUACUCUAAACAUCAUCAUCAUUAAUUCUUGGUCUUGGUCCUUAAUUCUUCUAUCAUCAUAUAUCCCUAUUAACAAAAUGUGCAUAUUUAUAUCAAAUUUUGAUUUAGUAUGUAAUUCAACCUGGUUUAGCAUUUGGUUACAGAAUUUUUCUAUCUUUUCACAUUCCCACCAUAGAUAUGAGUACCAUGCUUCCUAACUCCCACAAUGCCAACACUUGGGAUUUAAUCCCUGAACCAUGUGCGCCAGCUGAACUGCUGUUCUAUACCAUUUCAGAAUGAUUUUCAGUUUUAAUUCCUUAUAUUUUUAUUUUAUUAAAACCAUUGCUUAUAUUUUCUAUUUUUUCUUUUCUUGGGCCCCUUUUCUUUUCCCACUUGUUUUCCAUUAUUCUAUACAUAGAUUCCUUAUCUUCUAUCAUUCUUCCAUAUAUUUUAUUUAAUCCUUUUUUGCCACCAAGUCUCUCUUUUAAUAUCUUGUCUAUUAUUUUUCCUCCCUUAUUACAGAUUUGGGAUGCUUUGAGGUUCAGGAGCCAUAAAAGUGGUGUCUAGGGACCUCAUCACACUGAAGAGCCCGCCCCUCUCUCCUGUCCCAUUUUGCUAGCAAUCACUGGCAAAACAGAAGGCGUGCAUGGCGAGCCUUGCACCCUCUCUCCUUCCCCUAUCACAUGGGGAAGGGUGGCAGAAUUGGGGCAAGGCACAUUGAUGCUUCCCCCAUCAGACUGGGGAAAGUGUAAAAACCAUGCAUAGCUCCGGUGUAGCAAGCCAAAAGAUGGGAGACUCACUGUGAUGGCAAGGAAGCUUUUUUUCAGUGCUUUCUCACCAUGGCCUGAAUCAUCUGAUGGAUCUGUGGCCGAGGAGGAGUCCUAGCAUGGUAAGGGGCAAAAAAAUCUUGCAUGUGAUGAGGUGGCUGGACUAUACUUGGCUUUCAAGCCACACUUUGCCCAUCCCUGCUUUAGAAUAUCUACAGAUCAAAAUGUGCCAGGCAGUUUAGCUGACAAAUAUUGUCUGCCAGCAAUCUGAAACCGAUGAAAAAUACUGUAAUUUUGCACAGAGACCUUUUUACAAUUGAGAGAAAGCCAAACUGGAGGGGGAAAAUGUUCAAUGUCUCAUUCUUAUGCUGGAAUGAGAUCUUUCAGAGAGGCAGCCUCUCUCACUGAGAAUGGGAAACCUUUCAAACAUCCUUCACAUCCCUUCCUUUUUUUCUCCAAAUGAGCUGUGCAUGCUGGCUAGUGAAGGAUUUCCUUAAGUCCGUGGCUUCUCUCUUCUCAUGUUCCAAGAAAAGGGAUCAACAUAACAGACAUGGCAAGGCAUGGAGAAAUAUACUCCAGAUUUAGCUUAGACGAAAACAAUGGAAACAUUAGCCCAUUAGUAAUGUAAUAUAUCUGAACAAUCAGUCUGUGGAGGACAGUAUCCUUCUCAUUUGCUCACAAAGCACUCGUAUCACACACUUUCCAUUAAUUAAGCGUUGAGAACGGCUUAGCACUGGGGCACAGUUACAGAGCCCAUACAAGUAGCUGUCCCUUUUUAAUGAGUCGUACCUUUUUAGAAAGCAUUUAAAGAGAAAAUCACAUCCAAUAGCAGAGGUACAUGCUUGUCUGUAAUUGAGCCGUGGGGGGAUAUCUGCAGGUGAUAAUUAGCACAUAAGGGUACUUCAUCCUUGCCCUGUCUACCAGUUCUCCCAUGAAAUAAUUACCUGAGGACUUCUUGGCCCAGCCACUCAUUUUCAGUCUCGGCAAGGCUGGCAAAAGAGGUUUUGUUAAAACAGACAAAAAAGGGUAAGCAUAACCUGCAGUAACAUAUAUCAAUGGAGACAGACCAAUAAAAGUUAGGAUAUGAUUGCAAUUAUAUAGCAAUAUAUGAAUUUAUAAAGUGAUUGCAAAAUUUUAUGAGGGACAAGAAUAAUUGACAUACAAAUAAAUAUAUUACUAUAAAAAUCACACUCUUCAAGACAGCCAUUUAGGGUGUCGAAGGAUAAAAGAAGAAACUAAUUGUUUCAGGUGUAUUCCAGUCCUUCAUCUCUUAUACUUGUGUAAAAAGUCAAGGGUAAGUUAGCUUGGGAGCUAAAAUUGUGGAUUUUAAUGUGACCCAUAUAUAUAUUUAUCGUGUCAGAAGCGACUUGAGAACAUAUUGAACAUAUAACGUUCACAAAAAAUUGCAAAAACAUGUCAGCUAGAAAGAAUACUCACCACUGGGGGACAAGUCCAAGAGAUGCCUUUUUUAAAUAUCUAAAACAUGGUGAAAAUGCCCCCAUGCCCCCUAGUGACAUUUGUGGGUAAUGCUUAGCAGGAGCAGAACUAUCCCUUCAACAUCUCCAACACCAGUGUGGUCCCUAGCCUUCCACACUUGCUCACCUUAAUGUAAACCAAUGAACAGUUUCAAAAUAAAUGUAGCAUUCAGCAGCUAAACUAUGCUCAUUUUAAACAAGACCAAGUUAGGUUGGUCAGUUUCAGAUACAACAGACCCAUUAUAUUAAUUAUUGAAUGAUGAACCAAUGGUAAAUUCCACUGAUUAAACAGGUAUAUUCUAUAAUAUUAUUUAUUUAUUUAUUUACAGUAUUUAUAUUCCGCCCUUCU